rnacentral:antisense_RNA from 1 species
CUUGACGGAGCCGAGCCAGAGGGGUUCGUCGCCCGGCCGGUCCUGGCCGUACGUGGCCAGCAGCGCCUGCGCCUC